UACGUAGGGUGCGAGCGUUAAUCGGAUUUACUGGGCGUAAAGCGCGCGUAGGCGGUGCGGUAAGUCAGGGGUUAAAGGCUGCAGCUCAACUGCAGUAAGGCCUUUGAUACUAUCGCGCUAGAGUACCAGAGAGGAUGGCGGAAUUCCCGGUGUAGCGGUGAAAUGCGUAGAUAUAUGGAGGAACACCGGUGGCGAAAGCGGCUCUCUGGACUGUCACUGACACUGAGGCUCGAAAGCGUGGGUAGCAAACAGG
rnacentral:rRNA from 1 species